AUUGAACGCUGGCGGCAGGCCUAACACAUGCAAGUCGAGCGGAUGAAGGGAGCUUGCUCCUGGAUUCAGCGGCGGACGGGUGAGUAAUGCCUAGGAAUCUGCCUGGUAGUGGGGGAUAACGUCCGGAAACGGGCGCUAAUACCGCAUACGUCCUGAGGGAGAAAGUGGGGGAUCUUCGGACCUCACGCUAUCAGAUGAGCCUAGGUCGGAUUAGCUAGUUGGUGGGGUAAAGGCCUACCAAGGCGACGAUCCGUAACUGGUCUGAGAGGAUGAUCAGUCACACUGGAACUGAGACACGGUCCAGACUCCUACGGGAGGCAGCAGUGGGGAAGAUUGGACAAUGGGCGAAAGCCUGAUCCAGCCAUGCCGCGUGUGUGAAGAAGGUCUUCGGAUUGUAAAGCACUUUAAGUUGGGAGGAAGGGCAGUAAGUUAAUACCUUGCUGUUUUGACGUUACCAACAGAAUAAGCGCCGGCUAACUUCGUG
rnacentral:rRNA from 1 species